rnacentral:rRNA from 1 species
UACGAAGGGGGCUAGCGUUGCUCGGAAUUACUGGGCGUAAAGCGCACGUAGGCGGAUCCUUAAGUCGGUGGUGAAAUCCUGAAGCUCAACUUCAGAACUGCCUUCGAUACUGGGGACCUUGAGUUCGGGAGAGGUGAGUGGAACUGCGAGCGUAGAGGUGAAAUUCGUAGAUAUUCGCAAGAACACCAGUGGCGAAGGCGGCUCACUGGCCCGAUACUGACGCUGAGGUGCGAAAGCGUGGGGAGCAAACAGG